rnacentral:rRNA from 1 species
GACGAACGCUGGCGGCGUGCUUAACACAUGCAAGUCGAACGGAAAGGCCCUGCUUUUGUGGGGUGCUCGAGUGGCGAACGGGUGAGUAACACGUGAGUAACCUGCCCUUGACUUUGGGAUAACUUCAGGAAACUGGGGCUAAUACCGGAUAGGAGCUCCUGCUGCUUGGUGGGGGUUGGAAAGUUUCGGCGGUUGGGGAUGGACUCGCGGCUUAUCAGCUUGUUGGUGGGGUAGUGGCUUACCAAGGCUUUGACGGGUAGCCGGCCUGAGAGGGUGACCGGCCACAUUGGGACUGAGAUACGGCCCAGACUCCUACGGGAGGCAGCAGUGGGGAGUAUUGCACAAUGGGCGGAAGCCUGAUGCAGCAACGCCGCGUGCGGGAUGACGGCCUUCGGGUUGUAAACCGCUUUCGCCUGUGACGAAGCGUGAGUGACGGUAAUGGGUAAAGAAGCACCGGCUAACUACGUG